UGAUAACAGCUCGCUGCAUCGUCGUGCCCUGUCCCUCUCCCUCCAUCACCAGCUCUUCAUACUCCGCUAGUCCGCCCGCGCCAUCGCGCUUUUAGCGUUUUCUUUUCCCUUUGACACUUCACCGUUGCUCCCCGCAUCACGAUGAACGAGUUGGAGCGGAAGCGGCGCACGUUCCGCAUUUGGCUGGCGAUCUACAUAAUAUUCGCCCUGGCCUACCUCUCGGGCGUGCUACUUUUUUGCUUUGUGCACCAGAACUACUGGGCCUGUGGCGGCUUCGUCGUCGUGAUUCUGUUGAUCGCCCUGCGCGUGGCGCUCUUGGCGACGCCGCAGUACCGCCUGUACAAGAUUUUCCCUCCCUGCAGUUUCAACCGCAUUGCAUACCAGACGUUCUUUCUUUGCGCUUGCCUGGUUGGGAUCAGUCUGGGGGUGUGGCUCAUGGCGAGGGGCAUUAAGCAUCGCCAGUCCUGGACAGCGCGCUCGUACUUUUGUGGAAUGACCGGCAUGUGGAUGGCGGCGAAGUGGAGCUACAUCGUGACUGUGCCCAUCUACGACCUGCGAGAGGAUACACUCGAGGAGGACGCGCUUAUCAGGCUUGGCCUCAUUGAUUCAGGGAAAGACAAGGCGUCUGGCAGCAACGAACCGGUGACGUUAAAGGCGAACUGUGCAUAGAGUGUAGACAGCUCCCCACACCGUCCGUCCUGUCGGAGCACCUUCGCGUACUCACUCCUGAACGAAAAGAGCUCGAAAAGGAAAUCGAGUGGAUGUGCCUGGCGCGGGUGUAUGCAGAUGGGUGAGGUGUGGAGAAGGGGGCGAGGGGCAUGUGCAGACGCCUCCUUCUCUCCCUCGUCAUGCAUUCAUUUAGUCUGCCGCUUCUCGCUUUCUCCCAUUCCCCCUCUCUCCCAACAUAUAUCAUCGCCACCACCGCUGGACGUUUUCGUUCUGCCGCUUUUUGAUGGCCGCCCUCAGCGAGACCACGUGCAGGGAGAGAGGGAUGAGUGGCGACAGCGGCAUCAGAAAACGCCAUUCCUCCCACGUCUUAGUUGUUUGCUCGCCGUUCCUUCUUUGUUUUACUUUCCAGCCUCCAUCUUCGCCUUCCCUUUUGUGUGUGCCCGCGCGUGUGUAGGAAGGCCAACCCUAUAGGUCAUUUGUUUCUUGUACUGCACCUAUUUGUUACACACACACACACACACACACACAACGACACUCGAGAGAGUUGGGUAGGGGCGGUGAGAAGGGAGUCCCCCUCUUCCUACUCCCCUGUCUACCCCCCAACGUUUCUUUUCCCUAUUUAUGCUGUUCCUCCUCUAUAGCUUUUCUCUCUUGUCCUCCAGUUUUUUUCGUGCUCUUAGCGCCCUCCUCCUUUGCAGCCUACGUCACUUCGUGGCGAAGAGCAUCAAGUGGCAAGUGGGGAGCGGGAGAUGAGUGUCGACUAGGUAGCGAGAAGUUCGCUUAUCAGCUGCGUCGCGCUAGCGAUCCUUUUUCUCCCUUUUUCGUGCUUUCACCCGAAGUUUCCAGAGAGAUCGCGGGCAAUGGAGACCCCGACAGACAUGUUUGUUGCUCUGUGCGUCUUGGUGCUUCGUUCUGUUCACCGGCUUUGUGCGCUCGGACUUCUGCAGGUGAUGUUUGCGCUGACGGCCGCAUUCGUGCUUGUAUGUGCGUCUGCGCAUUCCCCCUCCCCCUCCUUCCUCCCUUGCGUAACACGGUACUUUGUUUUCCAUGUUCACAGAAUCGUCGAAAAUCACCACCACUCCAACCAGGAGGAGACCGCGAUCGAUUUCACAUGGAGGCGCACGUGACGGAGGAGAAAGAGAGGGAGUCAGACACGCGCGCAAGGGACAUAUAUGUGUAUGUAUAGGUUUCAAGCGUACAACUUCCACUAUCAACUGUUUUUUCUUUUACUUUCUGGCAUGACGAGUUUCUAAAGGAAAAAGACAAGCACACGCACAAAAUAAAACUCGCAACCCUCAUCGGCAAACAAAGACAAGAGCCAGCCUAAGACACAGGCAAGCGGACACACGCUCACAGCGAAGGAAGCGAAAAACAGAAGUAAAGUGAGCGCUUCGGCAAACCGCACAAGAGAGAGCACUAUAGCAACCGUCAAUUGUGAAGGUAACAGAUACGUGUGUUUGCGUGACUGUGUUGGGGCCGGGCGGCUGAUAAACAAAGGAAAGCGAAAGCGGAGAGGAGUAGCGUCAUUCGUAGGCGGAUGCAGCAGCACCACCCUUCUCAGCAACACCUGUGCAAGGGAGGAUAUACCCUUCUCUCCCCCUCUUUCUGCCCUUCUCCCUACACUACCUGCUUUCUCCAUUCAAUGAUGACAGAGGGCAGCAGUUCAAUGUGGGCAGAAGAGGCUACGCGCACUUGGUGUUUUGAAAUGCCAGCUCUGUUGCCGGUUUGCACAUUGGCGCGCGUGUGUGGGAGGUGGGUGAGUGGGUGGGUGGGUGAACGCCUAUGUGGCGCACAGCCGCCUUUCUCGAAAUUUUUUCUUUCCUGUAUUGCCCCCUACUCGUAAAACAACAAAAAAACGUGCAACUUCACUUGUCCCCGAGAGUGGCAUAUGCGUGUGUGUUGAGAGGCUGCGAGAAAACGAAAGAUACCCCCCUCACCGUUUUGUUAGUGUCGCGUAUGCUAUGGCGCGUCUGCUAGAACGCAUUCGAUUCGUGCGGGACUCAGGAGGUUGGCGUUCGUGACGGAGAAUUCAGAGCAUCCACACGUAAAGCAAACAAGCUGAAGAGUCUGCUACUGUGUGGAGGAAGGAUUUGGUAGGUCCUAAGUACCUUGUUGCGAUCCCUUCCUGUCCCG
rnacentral:misc_RNA from 1 species